rnacentral:rRNA from 1 species
CCUACGGGGGGCUGCAGUAGGGAAUAUUGGUCAAUGGAUGCAAGUCUGAACCAGCCAUGCCGCGUGCAGGAAGAAGGCCUUCUGGGUUGUAAACUGCUUUUGUCAGGGGAUAAAAAAUUCCUUGCGAGGAAUAUUGAAGGUACCUGGCGAAUAAGCCACGGCUAACUACGUGCCAGCAGCCGCGGUAAUACGUAGGUGGCGAGCGUUGUCCGGAUUUAUUGGGUUUAAAGGGUGCGUAGGCGGCCCUAUAAGUCAGUGGUGAAAUAUCGCAGCUUAACUGUGAGGGUGCCAUUGAUACUGUAGGGCUUGAGUGAAUUUGAGGUAGGCGGAAUUGACGGUGUAGCGGUGAAAUGCUUAGAUAUCGUCAAGAACACCGAUAGUGAAGACAGCUUACCAAGCUUCAACUGACGCUGAGGCACGAAAGUGUGGGGAUCAAACAGGAUUAGAUACCCGGGUAGUC